rnacentral:misc_RNA from 1 species
CGGUAGAGAGUCCGUGAUGAAAACCUUCUUGGGGACCUUGAAAGCUGCCAGAUUUUUCUUGCAAUACCUCAGCACCUCUGCCUCGUCAAUGUUUGAUCCCUCUCUAGGAAUUAUUGCACAAUUUAUCUCUUCACCGUAUUUGUCAUCGGGAACUCCAAAAGCAACCGCCUGAGUGAUGUUUGGAUGAGAUAGAAGAACUGCAUCCACUUCAAUUGGUGAUAUUUUUUCCCCUCCACGGUUAAUAAGCUCCUUAAUCCUACCGACCAGAUGCAAGUAACCAUCCGAAUCAAGAUAACCCACAUCUCCAGUAUGAAACCACCCGAAUUGAAAUGCCACCUUGUUGGCCUCAGGGUUAUUCUUGUACCCCUUAGUGACGUUUGGACCCCUUAUGCAAACCUCUCCAGUUGCAUUUGCCUCUUGAGCCACGCCAUUUUCAUCCAAUAUCGCCAUUUCUUGACCGACGGGUUUCCCCACCGACCCGGGCUUAUGCGGGCCAUCUUCCGGUAACGGGUUCGAUGACAUUAAAUGGGUUGCCUCGGUCAUUGCAUAUGCCUCCAACACCGGCGCACCAAAAGUCUCCUCUAACCUAGCCAAUAUAGACGGAGCGAGGGACGCGCUACAGCUCCGGAUGAACCUGAGCUUAGGGUAAACAGAUUCUGGAUUGCUAAAGUGUCGAUCCAGUAUAAUUUGAUGGAUGGUGGGGACUGCCGUGUACCACGUAGUCUUGUAUUUGAGCAUGUCUUUCCAAAACGUUGAUGCUGAGAAUCGGCCAGCGGCUGGGAGAGCUACGGCGGCUCCGGCUCCAAGAGAACUCAAUAAUCCGGCCACCAAUCCAUGAACGUGAAACAAGGGAAGGACUAUGACGGUGGAGUCUGAUUCGAUGAGUUUAUAUACUGCCUUUAUGUUUCGCACAGAAGACGCCAAAUUGAGUUGUGUCAA